AUAGAAAGAGUUGUGGGUCCUGCAGUCACCUCACUGACCCUUUCCCCAGCUAGUUCUUAUUCUUCUCUUUUGUUUCCCAUUCUCUUCAACAACAGUCUCCAAAAUGUGGAGCUUUCCCUCUCUGCCCCAUCCUCUGAGACAUAAAGGCCCCUUCCACGUCCUCUUCUCUGACAGAGAGAAUGACCACUGGAGCUACACACAAUGGGCAUAGCAUGCAAAUUUAAUGCCACCUACCAUGACUGACUAACAGCUUUGGCAUAGAUUAAUGUCUCCCAUAAAAUUCACCCUCUCCAGUUCAUGUUUUUUGUAUAAGGAGUCUGCUACAGCUAACAAAACAGAUAUGAAAGCAGCAUCUUUGGACCUUGAAACUAUAAAUCAGGG